rnacentral:rRNA from 1 species
GAUGAACGCUGGCUCCAGGCUUAACACAUGCAAGUCGAGGGGAAACGACGGGGAAGCUUGCUUCCCCGGGCGUCGACCGGCGCACGGGUGAGUAACGCGUAUCCAACCUGCCUCUGACUGAGGGCUAACCCGUCGAAAGUCGGCCUAAUACCUCAUGGCAUCGUCUGCGGGCAUCCAACGACGAGUAAAGAUUUCAUCGGUCAGAGAUGGGGAUGCGUCUGCUUAGCUUGUUGGCGGGGUAACGGCCCACCAAGGCGACGAUCAGGAGGGGUUCUGAGGGGAAGGUCCCCCACAUUGGAGCCGAGACCCGGUCCCAACUCCUACGGGAGGCAGCAGUGUGGAAUAGUGUGCAAGGGGCGAGAGCCUGAACCAGCCAAGUAGCGUGCAGGAGGACGGCGCUAUGGGUUGUAAACUGCUUUUAUGCGGGGAUAAAGUGAGGGACGGGUCCUUCAUUGCCGGUACCGAAUGAAUAAGGACCGGCUAAUUCCGUG